rnacentral:rRNA from 1 species
GACGAACGCUGGCGGCGUGCCUAAUACAUGCAAGUCGAACGCAGUGGGGACGGGUGAGUAACACGUGGGUAACCUCCCACAAGAGGGGAUAACACUUGGCAACAGGAGCUAAACCGAGACUGAUGGAUGGACUCGCGGUGCAUUAGCUAGUUGGUGAGGUAACGGCGCACCAAAGCCACGAUGCAUAGCCGACCUGAGAGGGUGAUCGGCCACCCAGGGACUGAGACACGGCCCAGGCUCCUACGGGAGGCAGCAGUAGGGAAUCUUCGGCAAUGGACGAAAGUCUGACCGAGCAACGCCGCGUGAAUGAAGAAGGUUUUCGGAUCGUAAAGCUCUGUUGUUAGAGGAGCGGUAUCUAACCAAAAAGCCACGGCUAACUACGUGCCAGCCGCCGCGGUAAUUC